GCGCGCAUAGCUCAGUGGUAGAGCGCACCGUUCACAUCGGUGAGGUCCAAGGUCCGAUCCCUUGUGCGCGCA
rnacentral:tRNA from 1 species